GAGGGUAUAGCUCAAGUGGUAGAUUACAGUGCUUAACAUGCACAAGGUCCUGGGUUCAAUCCCCAGUACCUCCA
rnacentral:tRNA from 1 species